UCAGUGUUGUAUUUUCUGCAUGGCGUGUCUACAUUCUGCCCUUGGGCAAGACCGUGUCUACUGAAGUGGCCCUCCUUGAGGCACAGAUACAGGUUAGGGAGGGACUGCAGCUAGCUCAACCUGGGUAUAUUACCCUUGUGGCUGACCACGGAGCCGCUGAACUAUAGGGAAAAUGAGAUUAAUUACAGGAAAUGGAGACACAUCAAAGGCAAGGAAAUAGCAGAUCAGAAGCUUCUGGUUAAAGGGACCGAGUUGAGAACAAAUGGGGGUCAUGUCGAAGUCAACAAAGACAGAGGUCAAAACAGAAAGGAGUGAAGCCAGGUUGGAAGAAGGCUAGUGCCGCUCUCAAAGUUUGGAACCUGCUGUCAGGACCCAAGACGAUGACAGCAGGAGAGCAAGACAUUCAAGGGGAGACUGGGCCACCAACAUUCAAUCAGAGGAGUGCAGAACGAUGGCCCCACAGGGCGAAACUGUCAUUCGGUUCUCAGAGAGAAGACCUCAGCCAGGAGCUCGUCAAGGGCUCCCCCCAUGGCACCCAGGCUGCUCCCCACUACCACGUGCACGGGAUUCUCCGUCUCCCUCUCUCUUGCCUCCUGCUUCCCUCUAACUCUGCCCAUCAUUCCCAAUCUCAACCUCCCUUGUCCCGUCUCCGUUCCUCUCUCUUAUGAAACACACUCCCCUCUGCUUCCACAGUGCGAAGUUCUGCUUGGCCCCUGGAAGUCUGCUCGCCAGUGUGGUUCCUCCCCACCCCCCCCCACCCCCCUUUUUCAGGGUCAUUCAAGUGCAAACAGAGAAGAGUAACAGAUUAUAAUGCAGCCCAAUUAAAGUCCUCCGGACGUCACAAGGUACUAAUGUCAACAUAUCGUUUCAGCAGCUGCGCACGACCAGGAAAAAGAAAGUUGAUUUUUGUUUUCUGUUUUCUUUUCCAAAAUCUGAAAGCCUAAAGAGGCUUCCUAGAAACCCGCCGCAGAAAGACGAGACAGAGCGACAAGACAGAGUGCGGGAAAGCACGAACUAUGCGGAUGCGGAGCUCCUGGGAAGCCAUCUCUAAGGACGGGAUGGGUUUGAUGAGAGACUCAUCAGAGGACCCGGAUGCUCGGCUUUUAACUUAUUUUUGCAAAGCAGGUAUUUUUGCAAACAAGAAUUAGAGAACGGCCUCCAGCUAAAUUGCAGGGAGUCCCUGAAGAGCAAACCCUCAGAGGGGAGAAUCAGUGAAGAAGAAAAUGGAGAUGACAAGGCUGUUGCUUCUUAAUAAACAUGAUCACAUUUUCGGCAUG